GAAUCACCACAUAGGGUUCCAAUAAAAUCCUAGAAUAAAAACUUAGCUACUCAUGUUCGUAACGAAAAACAUAAUAAAAAUACGAAAAAUCAUAAAAGCGAUAAAUAACAAUAAAGGAGGGGAACUAUGAUGAAGAUUCGUCAAGUCUUCGUCUUCGUUCUUGUGCUCCUUGAUUGCGUGUAGAAAGAUGAAAAACUAAAAACCUAAAAUAAAGAUAAAAAGUAAAAGACAAAAGAUAGGUCUAAUUGUGUGCUUGUGGCCUUUAAAUAGGGUGCAAAACUAUAAUAGGGCGGGUUUCCUUGUGUAAUUAAAAUUCCUUCACUGCGCCAUCACGCCCAUCCGGACGGCCGUGUGAGAUUUUGAACUAAAAUCCGCACGGCCGUGCGGUCUUUGAUUCUCCAGAUUUCUGAUUUUUUCACUUUUGGCCCACUUUUUCUCUGAAUUUGCAGUUUUCACCCCAAAAGUUGCCAAUUCUUCAAUUUGCACCUAAAAU
rnacentral:lncRNA from 1 species